rnacentral:lncRNA from 1 species
CUUCUGGACACUAGAACUGCAAUAAAAUAAAUAUAUUCUGUUUUCAAACACCCCACCCACAUAGUAAUACUCUGUUUUGGCAGCCUUAGGAAAAAUAUAUAGAUAUUAACAAAAGUUAACACUAAUAACUGUGCACUCAAACUGUUUUGACUUGGUUCAUUUUUGACAUUUAGGCAUGUAAUUCACCUUUCUUUUCUUCCCCCACAAAACCUCACCUCCAUGUAUAAUAUGCCUCCUUUAUACUUGAGACUAAAGGGGCCAUCUAAUGGAAUUCUUUAAUCUGCCAUAAGUAAGCACAUUCCCUAGUAACACCUUUGCAUAUCACGAUGCAUACUUAAGCUUCCAAAGGCUUUCUCUUAAAGUCAUCCUGCAGGGCUGGCUAAGAUGAUGAGUAAGUGAUUGCUAUGCAAGCUUGUGACCUUAGAUUAAGUUCUCAUAACCCACAUAAAAAUCUGGGUGGGAGUCAGGCCUUCUAUAACACUAGUGCUAUGAGGAAUGGGCAUAGGUAGUUCACUAAUGUUUUCUGACUACCAGCUUACACCCCAGGUCACUGAGAGAUCAUGUCUCUUAAGAAUAAGUUCUUAAAUAGUAGAGCAGUGUGCAGAAUAUUUUGUUCUAGUUUUCCUAUAAACACCCACAUGCACAUGUAUAAGCAUGUAUACACACACAGACACACACACAUUCACAAACACACACACAUACACACAAUCAUCAUUUUAAUGGUGACCUUGAUUCAUAUUACCCUAUAUCUCAAGCAAGUCAUUUGGUCCACCUCAUUUUUUUUUAAAGGGAGAAGAGGGGGAAUAAUUCAUCAUUAUAUGGUAACUCCAUUUAAACUCCAUUUAUAUAUUAGGAAGCUUCUACAGCAGUAAGCUUCCAUAUGGAUUUUCAGAAGUUCUUUUGUGCCCGGUACCAUUUACUCUUCCUGUUCUAAUAUCCUCCAUUAUGCCUUUAGAUUACUAUGUUCUAUUAUUCCAAACAGACAUGCUCUCAAAUAAAGCUCCAAGUAUCAAGAAUGUGUUACAUCUCUUUGAGUUAUGGGCUCCCUCAAAACAUUAAAAGCUAUUACAAAUCUCUGAGUUCCCCUCCACAACUUGAUUGUAAGAUAUUACACUACAUACUAACAUUAUAGAACAUCAAGAAAUUAAGCUGGCACUGAACUGGAAGCUUUACAUCACUGACUAGUGUUUAUGGUGCUGAAAGAUACAAUACACACUCCUGGAGAGAAAAAGUAAUCAUCAGUCUCACUAAGCUGUGAACCAUAAGAGCUAUUUAUCAACGUGCUUGCAAGACAUAGCAACUGAUGCAAUUGUGGUACAAAUGUUAGGGGAGUAACCAACUGUUUUUUUUGGUUAGAUUUAAGGUACCUUUUAUGAUAUGGAACACAGGUAUGACACUGUUAAUGGGGACAAGAAUAUGAGACUAGACAGAUCAUGGGCCUUAGAAGAAAACCAACUUCUAUUAUUAUAUAUUAAAUUAAAAUGGCAAUAAGACAUCUCCUAGUUGUACAUAUUGCUGUACCCAUAAAUCAUUGCAUUGCUCAACCCUCAUCAGGAAAACUUCUUCUUAGAGUACAUGGUAAAGCAUAGAGAUCCAUACUGGAUUAUGUGAAGAGAGUGAAUGACUUCAGAGCACUUAGCCAUAAAUGGUUUGUAUUUAACGCACUUUACCCCUCAACACUCGGGGACAUUGGCUGAAGAGGAAGCAGAAAGACUGUGAGAGCUGGAGGGGAUGGAUGAAUCC